rnacentral:rRNA from 1 species
GACGAACGCUGGCGGCGUGCUUAACACAUGCAAGUCGAGCGGUAAGGCCCUUUCGGGGGUACACGAGCGGCGAACGGGUGAGUAACACGUGGGUGACCUGCCCUCAGCUCUGGGAUAAGCCUGGGAAACCGGGUCUAAUACUGGAUAUGACUCCAUGACGCAUGUUGUGGGGUGGAAAGCCUUGUGCGGCUGAGGAUGGGCCCGCGGCCUAUCAGCUUGUUGGUGGGGUGANGGCCUACCAAGGCGACGACGGGUAGCCGGCCUGAGAGGGCGACCGGCCACACUGGGACUGAGACACGGCCCAGACUCCUACGGGAGGCAGCA